UACGGAGGGUGCAAGCGUUAAUCGGAUUUAUUGGGCGUAAAGGGGGCGUAGGCGGGAAAGAAAGUCAGCCGUGAAAGCCCGAGGCUCAACCUCGGAACAGCGUUUGAAACUUCUUUUCUUGAGGGUAGGCGGAGAAAACAGAAUUCCACAAGUAGCGGUGAAAUGCGUAGAUAUGUGGAAGAAUACCGGUGGCGAAGGCGGUUUUCUAGCUUAUUCCUGACGCUAAGGCCCGAAAGCUAGGGGAGCAAAC
rnacentral:rRNA from 1 species